AUGAACGCUGGCGGCGUGCUUAACACAUGCAAGUCGAACGGGAUCCAAGGGGUGCUUGCACUUUUUGGUGAGAGUGGCGAACGGGUGAGUAACACGUGAGUAACCUGUCCUUUUCUUUGGGAUAAGCAUUCGAAAGGGUGUUUAAUACCUUAUGUUCUGUCUGCCUCGCAUGGGGUGGGUGGGAAAGGCUUUGGCCGGAUUUGGGUGGGCUCGCGGUCUAUCAGCUUGUUGGUGGGGUGAUGGCUUACCAAGGCUUUGACGGGUAGCCGGCCUGAGAGGGUGGUCGGUCACAUUGGGACUGAGAUACGGCCCAGACGCCUGCGGGAGGCAGCAGUGGGGGAUAUUGCACAAUGGGCGAAAGCCUGAUGCAGCGACGCCGCGUGGGGGAUGAAGGCCUUCGGGUUGUAAACUUCUUUUGCUCUGAACAAGGCAUGCCAGUGGGUGUGUUGAGUGUAGGGGUUGAUUAGCGCCGGCUAACUACGUG
rnacentral:rRNA from 1 species